rnacentral:rRNA from 1 species
AACUCAGGGAAACUUGUGCUAAUACCGAAUGUGCCCUUCGGGGGAAAGAUUUAUCGCCUUUAGAGCGGCCCGCGUCUGAUUAGCUAGUUGGUUGAGGUAAUGGCUCACCAAGGCGACGAUCAGUAGCUGGUCUGAGAGGAUGAUCAGCCACAUUGGGACUGAGACACGGCCCAAACUCCUACGGGAGGCAGCAGUGGGGAAUCUUGCGCAAUGGGCGAAAGCCUGACGCAGCCAUGCCGCGUGAAUGAUGAAGGUCUUAGGAUUGUAAAAUUCUUUCACCGGGGACGAUAAUGACGGUACCCGGAGAAGAAGCCCCGGCUAACUUCGUGCCAGCAGCCGCGGUAAUACGAAGGGGGCUAGCGUUGCUCGGAAUUACUGGGCGUAAAGGGAGCGUAGGCGGACAUUUAAGUCAGGGGUGAAAUCCCGGGGCUCAACCUCGGAAUUGCCUUUGAUACUGGGUGUCUUGAGUAUGAGAGAGGUGUGUGGAACUCCGAGUGUAGAGGUGAAAUUCGUAGAUAUUCGGAAGAACACCAGUGGCGAAGGCGACACACUGGCUCAUUACUGACGCUGAGGCUCGAAAGCGUGGGGAGCAAACAGGAUUAGAUACCCUGGUAGUCCACGCCGUAAACGAUGAUUGCUAGUUG